rnacentral:lncRNA from 1 species
AAAAUGUUGAGACAAUACUCUAUUUCCAAGGGCUACAGCAGGAUGCUCACUGUUAACAAGCUGAUGUGGGAGCAGCACUGGCGUCUGAACCCGGAAACAUGCAGCAGCUGCUGAAGCAGGACAUGGUGAUGCUGCCAAGCCCAGCUGUCCCAACUACAGCACAGCAGGAGAACGCUGGAGCAGCACAGGGCGAGAGCAGCUGCAGCAAGACAAAGAUACAGAUGCC